rnacentral:misc_RNA from 1 species
GAUGAAGAACGCAGCGAAAUGCGAUAAGUAAUGUGAAUUGCAGAAUUCAGUGAAUCAUCGAAUCUUUGAACGCACAUUGCGCCCCCUGGCAUUCCGGGGGGCAUGCCUGUUCGAGCGUCAUUACAACCCUCAAGCUCUGCUUGGUAUUGGGCUCUGCUGGGACCGGCAGGCCUUAAAAUCAGUGGCGGCGCCACUCGGCUUCAAGCGUAGUAAUUCUUCUCGCUUCGGAGACCCGGGUGCGUGCUAGCCAGCAACCCCCAACUUUCUUAGGUUGACCUCGCAUCAGGUAGGGAUACCCGCUGAACUUAAGCAUAUCAAUAAGCGGAGGA